rnacentral:lncRNA from 1 species
AGAGAAGGGGUGUGAAAUAGAGAGGGGGCGAGUCAUUCUGUGCGACAAAAAGAGGAAAAUCCCUUCCUUUUUGGGUGUGAGUUCUAGGAUGAGGUCCUAGGGUUUCGGCUCUAGAUUUUUGUGAGAAGAUAUAAAACAAGAGGAUCUUGUUCUAUACUUCCUACACCACCUUCUCCUCCACUUGUUCCAUCCUCUAAUUCAGAAGAGUCUAGAUGAUCCA